UGGGGAAUAUUGGACAAUGGGCGCAAGCCUGAUCCAGCCAUGCCGCGUGUGUGAUGAAGGCCCUAGGGUUGUAAAGCACUUUCAGUGGGGAAGAUAAUGACGGUACCCACACAAGAAGCCCCGGCUAACUUCGUGCCAGCAGCCGCGGUAAUACGAAGGGGGCUAGCGUUGUUCGGAAUUACUGGGCGUAAAGCGCGCGUAGGCGGACUGAUCAGUUGGGGGUGAAAUCCCGGGGCUCAACCCCGGAACUGCCUUCAAUACUGUCAGUCUAGAGGACGAGAGAGGUGAGUGGAAUUCCGAGUGUAGAGGUGAAAUUCGUAGAUAUUCGGAGGAACACCAGUGGCGAAGGCGGCUCACUGGCUCGAUACUGACGCUGAGGUGCGAAAGCGUGGGGAGCAAACAGGAUUAGAUACCCCUGUAGUCC
rnacentral:rRNA from 1 species